AUAGCGUAUAUUAAAGUUGUUGCAGUUAAAAAGCUCGUAGUUGAACUUCAGACCUGGUUGGGUGGUCCGCCUCACGGUGUGUACUGUUCGACUGGGCCUUACUUCUUGGUGAGCCGGCGUGGCCUUUAUUGGUUUGCGUCGGGGAACCAGGACUUUUACCUUGAGAAAAUUAGAGUGUUCAAAGCAGGCCUAUGCCCGAAUACAUUAGCAUGGAAUAAUAAAAUAGGACGUGUGGUUCUAUUUUGUUGGUUUCUAGAAUCGCCGUAAUGAUUAAUAGGGAUAGUUGGGGGCAUUGGUAUUGAGUCGCUAGAGGUGAAAUUCUUGGAUUGACUCAAGACCAACUACUG
rnacentral:rRNA from 1 species